ensembl:lncRNA
GUUUUGACACUGAAAUCCUGUGCCUGCGUGCUCAAUCGCUUCCGUCGUGUCCGACUCUUUGGGGCACUGUGGACCAUAGCCUGCCAGGCUCCUCUCUCCAUGGGAUUCUCCAGGCAAGAAUACUGGAGUCACCAUUUGGGAGCCCCAGAUUUAAACAAAUAGUUCCCCAGUCACUGGUAGUACAUCUCUAUCCUGUAUUUUAAAAGAUUUUUGUCUUCUGAAAGUCUGAGUCAAAUUAGGUGGGAACUGAAGCUACAGUUCUGAGGCUUGAGCACAAAGAGCAUUUGCAUUGGAGGGUUUCAGUCUUCCUUCAGAGGUG